rnacentral:tRNA from 1 species
GCCUCGGUGGCGGAACUGGCAGACGCGCACGACUCAAACUCGUGUGAAAGCAAUUUCAUGAGAGUUCGAUUCUCUCCCGAGGCACCA